AAAGUGUCAUUUCUAGAGUGUGAUUGUAGGAGCCAUAUGUUGGGUUAUUUAUUUCCCACUUGAAGUAUGUGUGCACUUGCGCAGUGACACCACCGGUGAUUGUGGGUGGCACUGUGGGUGUGUUGAGGUUAUUAAUGAGUGUGCUCACCUGUGUUGGUUUGGGGCCUGGAGCAUGGAGACAGGGUGAGCUUGAGCUGAAACUU